rnacentral:rRNA from 1 species
GAUGAACGCUGGCGGCGUGCCUAAUACAUGCAAGUCGAACGCAUUGUGGUUGAAAUGAUAUGAAGAACUUGUUCAGAUUUGAUUUUCAACAUUGCAAUGAGUGGCGAACGGGUGAGUAACACGUGGGAAACCUACCUCUUAGCAGGGGAUAACAUUUGGAAACAAAUGCUAAUACCGUAUAAUAAUUAAAACCGCAUGGUUUUAGUUUAAAAGAUGGUCUUGCUAUCACUAAGAGAUGGUCCCGCGGUGUAUUAGUUAGUUGGUGAGGUAAUGGCUCACCAAGACAAUGAUACAUAGCCGAGUUGAGAGACUGACCGGCCACAAUGGGACUGAGACACGGCCCAUACUCCUACGGGAGGCAGCAGUAGGGAAUCUUCCACAAUGGACGAAAGUCUGAUGGAGCAACGCCGCGUGUGUGAUGAAGGGUUUCGGCUCGUAAAACACUAGUUGUAAGAGAAGAAUGACAUUGAGAGUAACUGUU